ACAUACGCGUAGAGUUUGAUCAUGGCUCAGAGCGAACGCUGGCGGCGUGCCUAACACAUGCAAGUCGAACGUGAAAGGGGGCAACCCUGAGUAAAGUGGCGUACGGGUGAGUAACACGUGGGUAAUCUACCAAAGAGUCUGGAAUAACCUGCCGAAAGGCGGGCUAAUACUGGAUAGAGCGACGGAAUCCGUAAUUGGGUUUCUCGGGAAAGGGAGGAAGCAAUUCCCUUCGCUCUUUGAUGAGCCUGCGUCUGAUUAGCUAGUUGGUGAGGUAAUGGCUCACCAAGGCGAUGAUCGGUAGCUGGUCUGAGAGGAUGAUCAGCCACACUGGAACUGAAAACACGGUCCAGACUCCUACGGGAGGCAGCAGUGGGGAAUCUUGCGCAAUGGACGAAAAGUCUGACGCAGCCACGCCGCGUGAGUGAAGAAAGGCCUUCGGGUCGUAAAAGCUCUGUCGGGCGGGACGAAGACUUUUAGGGUGAAUAGCCCUAAGAAUUGACGUACCGCCAAAGGAAGCACCGGCUAACUUCGUGCCAGCAGCCGCGGUAAU
rnacentral:rRNA from 1 species